UUUUCAGCAUAAGUAUAACCCAUAAAAUAUCUGAGACAUACUUAUACUAAAA
rnacentral:miRNA from 1 species